rnacentral:tRNA from 1 species
UUAGCCAAAGCCAAAAGAGAGGCUUACCACUGUUAAUGGUAUAAGUGAAUAAAAUAAUUCUGGCUAAG